rnacentral:lncRNA from 1 species
AGGUAUGAGUGACACCCAGAAUCAUACCCACCAAUCAUACCUUGGGCUGACUCCACAACACCAAGAUAAUCAUGAACCAUAUGACUUGCGCUACACCACUUGUAUGCUUCUAUACAACUCGUACCCUAGUGAGUUGUAUCUUGGAUAGUAUCCAAGCCAACCAUGCUUUCUAAGGUAGGAUUGAACCAUUAAGACACCCAGCAAGUCGUAUU